rnacentral:lncRNA from 1 species
AAUGAAAAGUUCCACAGAGAAAAACAGUGAGGAAAUCAAUAUUUAUGUCCUGAGAGAAUGACAUGAAUUGAAUGAAUUAAAAUAAAGCAUGGGACUUCGCAGUGAACACUGGUUGUAAAACCUAAUGUUGAAUGAGUACUCAUUAACUGAGUACCUUUCAUUGCAUGUAAAUGAAGACAAAUUUCCAGAAAAAUAUAAACAUAAAAGAUUCUCAGCAGGCUCUUCAGUCUCCUCAUGUCCUUCUCAGGGCAGUGAAAUGGAUCAAGUUGGCAGAAGGCACAGCAUGAAAAAUCAGAUUGUUGAUUAUAGAAAAGUAGAUUUCAUGGUUGUCCAGCCCCACAGUUCCUGCAGUCUGUGACACCAACCUCAGGUAAUGAGGCCAGAUCCAGAUUCACCAGGUUCAAGGAGAAGACUAUGUGGAAAUCCCUGGACUGUAAACCUCACUCAUAUGGGUCUACAUAAAGCAUAGGUAUCUUUCUCCAACAGCAAGCUUUGGAAAACUAGAACCGUUCCACAAUCUAAACUUUCUUAGAUAUAUCCAAAUAACACAGGAAUGAAUCAAAUGUGUAGAGCUGCUGAACACAGCAUAAUGGGUGUUGGGUUCUCUGCAGUCUGUUAGCAGCAGCUUUCAUAAAAACCCUUAGGCAGUUAUUGUGCUUGACGGGUUCAGUUUGGAAGAAAACCUCAGAAAUUUGGCAUUGUUGGAGUAAUUUUGCAUCAAUAUUCAGCACAGAAUAGAACACAGUGUAAUUUGGCAGAAGAACAGCACUAUGCAUUUUAUUUCAGGAUAUUUCAUUAUGUAUCUGUGAGAAUUUUAAAAUAAAAUUGGCUUUUACAAUGAAAUAAAAGUGUAC